GCUGGGCGUAAUGGCUUAUGCCUGUAAUCCCAGCACUUUGGGAGGCCGAGGUGGGUGGAUCACCUGAGGUCAGGAGUUCGAGACCAGCCUGGCCAACAUGGUGAGACCCUGUCUCUA
rnacentral:SRP_RNA from 1 species